rnacentral:tRNA from 1 species
GGGCCGGUAGCUCAGCUUGGUGGAGCGUUCGGCUGAUAACCGAACGGUCGAGAGUUCAAAUCUCUCCCGGCCCA